UGGAUUCGAGGCUGUGUAUGAGCU
rnacentral:misc_RNA from 1 species